CACCAUCACUACCACCAGCAAACAAUUCGCUGUGAGGUCGCGCAUCUCGAUCAAACGCAACCCAUUAACGUCGUGAUCAUUUCUAUUUUGUAGUGCAUCAUCACGAUGCUAAUUUUACCCAAAGCGCGACCAACAAUUCAACGCCCCAACCCACUCCCUACCCAUGAUCAACAGCGUGGCAAGGCCUUCAUCCUGCUGCGGACGUAUUGACAACAACAACAGCAGCAUGAGGAGCGUCAGUUUAGCGGCCAGGCGUGGUGUUGUUGGCCAACCGCCUGCUCGUGUGCCAGGGUGCCGGCCUUCACAGCUGCUGCUACUCGCUAACAGCACUUGCCCCAACAGUCUGUUGCAGGCUACACGAGACUCAUAGAGACUCAUAGCAGCGGAUUUGCUGCCACGACUUCCACCCGGGGGGGGGGGUGGAGGCUGUGUCCACGGUGAGUCUCACCGUCAUUCUCAGCUGUACCCACACUUUACCCCACCCCACUCGCGACCUGCCGACCUUCGACUCAAACUCAACUCAACUCGUGGGUUCGAUGCCGACCCUGACGCCU